rnacentral:lncRNA from 1 species
CGGUUCCCCAGGGCAUGUUCACUGACAUCAAGGUGCAGAACUUACUUUAAGUAGCACUACGUAUGAGGGCUGUACAUCUCACAAACAAAACAGAAAGACAAUAACUUUAGUAAAAAGAUGGAUACCAUUCAAGCCCAAGGAAAACCAAUGCUUCUUUUCAUCUAUGGACUCAAGUCUCAGAAAGCAGAGAAGUGAGUGUACCAAGUGCAACAAACGUUUGAGCAUUGUUCUGCUGCCAAUAUUGAAGACAGCCACUGCUUUGAAGUGUGGGGAGGAGGUAAGCAAAGGUAGCAUUUUCCUAAGAGAAAAAAAAAUAGCUUGUCAAAUAUUUCUUCUUUGUCAGCAUGACUGUAAUAGGUUCCUGCAUAAUAAAACAUUAUUUCCCAGUAA